rnacentral:rRNA from 1 species
AUGGCUGUUACCGCGCACUAUAUAGAUGAUUCUUGGAACCUAAAGAGCUUGCUUAUGAGGUUUGCUUAUGUGCCCUGUCCACAUUCAGCUGAGGUUAUAUGUGAAGCCUUGUAUGAGUGUCUUGUUGAGUGGCACCUUGAGAGGAAGAUCUCCACCGUCACUUUGGACAACUGCACAUCAAAUGACAAGGCUAUGGGAAUAUUGCCAGAUAAGUUGGAUACAAGCUCUCUCAUGCUGGAUGGUCAAUUACUGCAUAUGCGUUGUGCCGCUCACAUAUUAAACUUAUUAAUUGUAAAAGAUGGAAUGAGUGUCUUAGAGAAAGGUAUAGAGAGGUUGUGA